GUAUAUCACCCCUUAGAUGCAGCCUGAAUUUUGAAGUAUGUUUGCUUCUCUCAGGAAUCCAUUCGCAGUCUCCCACGGUUCUGCUUCCCGUACGACAUAGAAAGGGUGAAACCAAGUAUGGUAGUACAACACUUCACCUUUGUACUCACCGAUCUAGAAGGAUGUCAGCGUUUCGGAUUUUGCCGUCAGACUUCUGGGUCUAAGAGCUGUCUCUGCGUCUUGAGUUACCUACCCUGGUUUGAGGUCUUCUACAAACUCCUGAAUAAUCUGGCUGACUAUUUGACUAAAGGACAGACCAAUGAAAUGCGAGAACUGCUGUCCGCCCUCCACAAACACCCCGUCCCACAGGCUGACAGCUUCGCCACCCUACAGCUGGUAAGUCAACAGCAGCCAAUGGCACCCUGCUUCGGGUCAAUAUUAAAGGAUAUACCUCCCAAAAACAGUGUGUUAACUGUCCUUUGUACUAAUACAAAUGACAGAAUAACAACCAUUUUUCUGAAAAUUUUUCUUUGCCUGCCGUGCUGUGGGAAGUGAAGUUUCAUUUUAUGGGAAAAUACUGAUUGGGAAUAAAUCUGCUUGAUAGCGGGUGUGAGGAAAAUGCCUGGCAUCUGUAGACGUCUUGUUAGACACAGAGCUAUGAUAAACUUGA